rnacentral:rRNA from 1 species
AACGAACGCUGGCGGCAUGCCUAACACAUGCAAGUCGAACGAGACCUUCGGUCUAGUGGCGCACGGGUGCGUAACGCGUGGGAAUCUGCCCUUGGGUUCGGAAUAACAGUUAGAAAUGACUGCUAAUACCGGAUGAUGUCUUCGGACCAAAGAUUUAUCGCCCAGGGAUGAGCCCGCGUAGGAUUAGCUAGUUGGUGGGGUAAAGGCCUACCAAGGCGACGAUCCUUAGCUGGUCUGAGAGGAUGAUCAACCACACUGGGACUGAGACACGGCCCAGACUCCUACGGGAGGCAGCAGUGGGGAAUAUUGGACAAUGGGCGAAAGCCUGAUCCAGCAAUGCCGCGUGAGUGAUGGAGGCCUUAGGUUGUAAGCUCUUUACCGGGUACUGAUAAUGACAGUACC